CCUACGGGGGGCUGCAGUGAGGAAUAUUGGUCAAUGGACGAGAGUCUGAACCAGCCAAGUAGCGUGAAGGAUGACUGCCCUAUGGGUUGUAAACUUCUUUUAUAUGGGAAUAACAUGUUCCACGUGUGGGAUUUUGUAUGUACCAUAUGAAUAAGGAUCGGCUAACUCCGUGCCAGCCGCCGCGGUAAUACGGAGGAUCCGAGCGUUAUCCGGAUUUAUUGGGUUUAAAGGGCUCUUAGGGGGAUUGUUAAGUCAGUUGUGAAAGUGUGCGGCUCAACCGUAAAAUUGCAGUUGAAACUGGCAGUCUUGAGUACAGUAGAGGUGGGCGGAAUGCGUGGUGUAGCGGUGAAAUGCUUAGAUAUCACGAAGAACUCCGAUUGCGAAGGCAGUUCACUGGACUGCAACUGACACUGAGGCUCGAAAGUGUGGGUAUCAAACAGGAUUAGAUACCCGUGUAGUC
rnacentral:rRNA from 1 species